CUCAAGGUCGCACGCUCCCACCCCCACCUGGCGGCUGGGAGCGACCGAUGCGAGAGCGACGACUCCGACGGCGUCCCCGCUGGGUUCGGACAGAGGCGACUCACUCGAGCGAUAGGGUCACGUCUCCGAGCAACGCGACGGGGAGCUGGUGGGGUUAAAAAUGAAGCAUCAACCACAAUUGGAGUCGAUUCGCCGGUGAUUGAAGAUGCAAAUCGUAGUUGAUGCAGCCAAUUACUGGCAGUAGAUGCUCUGGCCAUCGAUAAUUGCAGCCAUGGUUGGCGUGUAGGUCGAGGAUUCAUCUUCCCCUUUCUGUCAGUCCUCCACUCUCUCCUUCGAAUUCCGAUGGCUCGUGAUUCAUUAAGUUUUUAAUUUCUGGGAAUCUCUUUUGCUGGACCAGAAAUUCGAAGGCACAUCCUCUGUAUCUAUACUG
rnacentral:rRNA from 1 species